rnacentral:snoRNA from 1 species
GAUCGCUGUGAUGACUCACGAAAUUCAAGCUCAACAGACCGGAAUGCAGGGUUUUUCUUAUACAGAAAUACUUUGCGUGUCGAUAUUCCCGCUGAACUGAGUGAUC